rnacentral:piRNA from 5 species
GUUCAGUGGUAGAAUUCUCGCCUG